AAAGUCUGAUGGAGCAACGCCGCGUGAGUGAUGAAGGUUUUCGGAUCGUAAAACUCUGUUGUAAGGGAAGAACCAGUAUGUCAGGCAAUGGACGUACCUUGACGGUACCUUAUUAGAAAGCCACGGCUAACUUCGUGCCAGCAGCCGCGGUAAUACGAAGGGGGCUAGCGUUGCUCGGAAUCACUGGGCGUAAAGCGCACGUAGGCGGAUCGUUAAGUCAGGGGUGAAAUCCUGGGGCUCAACCUCAGAACUGCCCUUGAUACUGGCGAUCUCGAGUUCGAGAGAGGUUGGUGGAACUCCGAGUGUAGAGGUGAAAUUCGUAGAUAUUCGAAAGAACACCAGUGGCGAAGGCGGCCAACUGGCUCGAUACUGACGCUGAGGUGCGAAAGCGUGGGGAGCAAACA
rnacentral:rRNA from 1 species